ACAGAGGGGGCAAGCGUUAUUCGGAAUUAUUGGGCGUAAAGGGCGCGUAGGCGGCUAUUCAAGUGGCGGGUGAAAUCCCUCGGCUUAACCGAGGAACUGCCUGCCAGACUGGAUGGCUUGAGACCGGGAGAGGUGAGUGGAAUUCCCAGUGUAGCGGUGAAAUGCGUAGAUAUUGGGAGGAACACCAGUGGCGAAGGCGGCUCACUGGACCAUUACUGACACUGAGGCGCGAAAGCUAGGGGAGCAAACGGGA
rnacentral:rRNA from 1 species